GCCAGGCAUUGUGGUAUGUGCCUGUAAUCCCAGCUACUCCGGAGGCUGAGGCUGGAGGAUCUCUUGAGUUCAGGAGUUCUGGGCUGUAAUGUGCUAUGCCAAUUGGGUGUCUGCAGUAAGUUCAGCAUCAAUAUGGUGACCUCCCAGGAGCGGGGGACCACCAGGUUGUCUAAGGAGGGAGCAGGGGACCACCAGGUUUCUGGCCCAGGUCGGAAACAGAGCAGAUUGAGCCACUGCACUCCAGCCUGGUGACAGAGCAAGACUGUCUCA
rnacentral:SRP_RNA from 1 species